UGUCCUUAUUGAAAUAGACAGUACAUGGAUCUGGAACGGAAGCAAAUAAUAUCCGGGUCUCCAGAUUCCAUUGUAUCACAGAACAUGGAACCAAGAAAGUACCUUAGAAGUCAUCUGAUCCAGUCACCCCCUGUUUUACCGAGGAAUCUAGACCCAGAUGAAGUUAAAGGACUUACCCAAGAGUACCCGACAACUCUCUGGCCACCCCCAGGCUCCCAUCUUUGUGUCUCUCCUGUGUGGGCUGUUCCCUGACGUUCUUCCUGAUAGGCACAUCGCCUUUCCCUUUGAUUUUAAAUCCUUGGCUCAAAUGACAUGCCCGGACUAUAUCGUGUGAUGUGACCUUGAAAAAUAAUUUACGUACAAGUCUUGAAAGCAAAUCAAGUUUUAAAACAAAGUAGCAUCUACUCUGCCCCAGCCUUGACAUCUAUUACAAAGCAAAUGCUGGCUCUUUAAUUUCCCUAAUCAAGACUGGUCCUAUUUAGCCCAUCUACUCAAGGAGUCCCAGCACUAGCCCCACUCCGACGCCUGAUGAAGUUCCAGAACAGUGGAAUCGAGCACAGAGAUGGGCACGCCUCUUUACAGAACCAAAGAUUCAGAACCAUGCCUUACCCUUUGCUUAUGAGGCGGAGGAGGAGGAAGAGAAAGAACCACCACAAAGAGAGACGGCAACAAAGGUAAAAUGAAGGCUGGGCCAGCCGAUCCCACUCAGGCUGACCACAGUGAGGGAGAAGCAUUAAAAUGAGAAAUGAUCAGGUUUCAGAAGCCCAGCCCUUCCUGCUGAGUCUCAUCCUUUGCUUCAUCCAUUCCAUUAAAUAAGUCAUAUUGAAAACCAAUUAUUAUUAAUACAACAGUA